rnacentral:lncRNA from 1 species
AGUUAUUAUUAAACCCACUUCCAGAUCGGGUCGAACCUGGGUUAUAAUGAAAUCCAGAUCCUUUCUUUCCGUUGGGCCCCGAUCCACUUGGCCCACUUCCCUUCCAACUGCGAAGCCCACCCACACUACCACCUAUUGAAAUCAGAGACCCACGUAAUUCUGUUUCGACAUCACGAGCAAUCUUCAUUGCUUGCAAUCUGGUUUGUGGAUUCAAUGUACGCACCUUCAAGCGAAUGUGGUUCUUGAGUCCUCCCAUGAAGUACCCAAGGUAUUGCUCCUCCGGUAGUCUUGCUACUUGUGACGACACAUAUUCGAAGGUGGUAAUGUAUUCAUCAACUGUUCCCGUUU